rnacentral:piRNA from 1 species
GAUAGCAAACCAUAGUCAGGCUGCAUU